AAGCUCGUAGUUGAAUUUCGGGAUUAGUACGUCGGUCGUGCCUUAGGUACGUACUGGUGUUACUGGUUUCUACCUUCUGACGAACCAUCAUGUCAUUAAUUUGGUGUGGUGGGGAAUCAGGACUGUUACUUUGAAAAAAUUAGAGUGUUUAAAGCAGGCUCGCGCUUGAAUACAUUAGCAUGGAAUAAUGAAAUAGGACGUUGAUCCUAUUUUGUUGGUUUCUAGGAUUGACGUAAUGAUUAAUGGGAUAGUUGGG
rnacentral:rRNA from 1 species